rnacentral:rRNA from 1 species
UUAAAGGAAUUGACGGAAGGGCACCACAAGGAGUGGGGCCUGCGGCUUAAUUUGACUCAACACGGGGAAACUCAUCAGGCCAGGACUCCGGAAGGAUUGACAGAUUGAGAGCUCUUUCUUGAUUCGGUGGGUGGUGGUGCAUGGCCGUUCUUAGUUCGUGGGGCGACUUGUCAGGUUAAUUCCGUUAACGAACGAGACCCAAACCUAUUAAAUAGUCGAUACCGGCAUCCUUGGCGCAGCCGGCGAUUCAAUUUCUUCUUAGAGGGACAGGCGACUUCCAGUCGUACGAAAUGGGGCAAUAACAGGUCUGUGAUGCCCUUAGAUGUUCUGGGCAGCACGCGCGCCACAAUGAAGACGUCAGCGUGUGUUUCCCCUUGGCCGAGAGGCCCGGGUAACCCGUUGAACGGCCUUCGUGCUUGGGAUUGAGGCUUGGAAUUCUUCCUCACCAACGAGGAAUUCCUCGUAAGCGGGUAUCACCAAUACCCGUUGAUUAUGUCCCUGCCCUUUGUACACACCGCCCGUCGCUACUACCGAUUGAAUGAUUUAGUGAGGUCUUCGGACCGGAGCGCGGCUUCCGGGGUCUUCCCCGCAGCCGCCGCGACCGGAAAGAUGACCGAACUUGAUCAUUUAGAGGAAGUAAAAGUCGUAACAAGGUUAUC